rnacentral:rRNA from 1 species
UACGAAGGGGGCUAGCGUUGCUCGGAAUCACUGGGCGUAAAGGGUGCGUAGGCGGGUCUUAAGUCAGGGGUGAAAUCCUGGAGCUCAACUCCAGAACUGCCUUUGAUACUGAAGAUCUUGAGUUCGGGAGAGGUGAGUGGAACUGCGAGUGUAGAGGUGAAAUUCGUAGAUAUUCGCAAGAACACCAGUGGCGAAGGCGGCUCACUGGCCCCGAUACUGACGCUGAGGCACGAAAAGCGUGGGGGAGCAAACAGGG